ensembl:antisense 0610040F04Rik RIKEN cDNA 0610040F04 gene
GCGCGCUGGGGAUCCGUUCCAUGAUGCGGCGAGCAGGGGCCACUGUGCGCUCCUGUCUGCACUUAGUAGAGUCUGAGAAAGGACUGCCCUGGAAGGGAGGAUCCGAGGAUCUCAAGGGGUUUACUCUGAAGACCAGAAGAGCCAAGGGUUGGGAAAGUAACAUACCUCUUGUGAAGAUUCUCUUACCGCCAGUUCAAGAACCCUGCAGCUUGUAUAGCCUUUGUACCUUGGCUUAACCACUUAAAUGCCCAGUCUCUCCUGCCUUGUGACUAGAGCCAAGUGUCCCACACACUUCCCUGAUUCUUGCCUCAAACAAACCUGAAGUCUAAGGUUGAGCUGCUGCUUUGUUUUCUUUCAACUUGGUACAAGCUAGAGUUAUUUGGGAAGAGAGAAUCUCAACAGAGAAGAUGCCCCCCCCCCACACACACAUACACCAGAUUGGCCUGUGGCAAUAGAAACCCAUCAAAGGCACACUCUGAACUCAAGAAUUUCCCUGACUGUCUAUGCUGGUUUCCACAGCAAACAUUCGCCUGGAUCAAUACAUGCAGACGGUCUUUUGCAGACGCAUACAUUCUCAAUCAUCCUCUGUUAAUGAUGAAACCGUGGAGUCCUCUUCUUGACCCGAGUUUUCUAGCAUUGAAUAUUGCCCCAGGGACAAGAACAAAUUGAACGAGCCCCGUGGUAGGAGAGAAACAACUCCUCUAAGCAGCUCUUGGACUUCCACAUGCCUGCUGUGCCUUGUUCAUAGUCUGCUAUUAUCUAAGUAGCAUCAAACGUUGCCUAAUCUUCCUGCUAACACUCCCAAGUGUGGGGACUGCAGAUGUGCACCACCACAUCUGGUUAUGCUGUGCUGAUGACCAAAGAAGGCUUUGUGCAUCCUGGACAGACACUCUACCAACCGAGGUACCUCCUCAUCUCUCACAUCGGGAGUGUAUAUGUGCAGGCACACAUGUGAAUGGAUGCUGUAGUGAGGGCAUGGAGGUCAGAGGACACGUUUUGGGAAAUUGGGUCUCUCCUUCCAUCAUGUGUUGGGGAUCAAACUGGGAUUUGGGGGCUUGCAGGCAGGAGAAGUGCUUUUACCUGCUGAGCCAUCUCUCUGGCCCUUCUUAUCAAGUUUCGAAUUCCUAGCAUGAAAUUCACACAUAGAGUUUGGAACCUGGAUGAAGCAGGAUUUUGCUUUGCAGAUAUGACUGGUCCAAUCCCGCUCCUCCACAGUUCUAGCUGUAUGAGAUGGUCCUCCUUUCUUAAGAGGUGGCCUGCACUCCACUUUCUUGGAUACGGACAGACCAAUGACAGGGCAGAAAGGAGAUCUUCUGAUUUGUAAACUGGAAGUCAUAGGAAUUAGUGUGGUUUCUCCUGGGAAUUGCCAGGGCUCCUGGAGAUCCCCUAUGGAAAGCUGUCCCAGUAGCUCUGCCAUCCUAGCCUGGCCUGUUUUAGUUUUCUUCCCCCCAACUCCCAACCUCCAGACAUGAGGCAGACAGCCUUCAAAUUAUUCCACCCUCCAGUCUUUGAGCCAGCCCCAGCUGAUGCUGCGUGGAGGGCAGGACCACCUGUCUCCAUGGAGCCCGGCCCAGAUUGCAAAGUACUUGGGAAAAGCAGUAUGAUGCGUGUAGCCUUGAUAUCCAAGGAUUCUGAGAGCAAGGAUUCAACCAAGCACACAUGAAAAAUACCUGUGAAAGAUGUGUCUGUACUGAUCUCGUGGAUAUGUACUGCCAUUAUUCCUCAAAUAAUAAGAUAUAACUAUU